UCUGGGGGAGCCAGCGCGGCAGAGCAGGGCCAUGGCAGCGGCGCCAGCGGUGGGCGCCCCGCAGGGGCCCCCGCCGGGUGCACCGUCCCCACCGGCCGGCGCGCGAGGGCCGGCGUCCGGCCUGGGCCGCUGCCGGAUGGCGCUACUGCUGGCCGUGGCGCUGGACGUGGCGGGCAUGGCGGCGCUGCUGACCGGCGUGUUCGCGCAGCUGCAGGUGCGCGGCCGCGACUUCGGCGACCUGCUCAUCUACUCGGGCGCGCUGCUUGUCUUCCUGAGCCUGCUCGGCUGGAUCCUCUGGUACACCGGCAACAUCGAGAUCUCGCGCCAGGAGCUGGAGCGCGACUACGGCCUGCGGCCCUCGACUCUGGCCCGCCUGGCGCGCAAGCUCUCCCGCCGCUGGUCUGCGCCGGCCUCCUCCUCCUGCCCGCGCGCCGCGCCCGGCUCUCUAGGAACGCGCCGUGCCGUCCGCGCGCCCCCGCCGCCCGCUGCCGGCUCCCGCCGCGUGCGCCUGCAGCUCGCUACGCUCGAGGCCGGGCCCGGGGCGGCGGGCGCGGGCACCGAGUGAGCCCGAGCUUGUGCCUCUGGACCCCAGUGAGGCAAAUACGCUGCAGCAGAUGGGGGCGUGGAGGGGUGGAGGAGCAGUUGAGCAGGCGGACCCACGGACCCACCUGUCAGGACUGGACUGCGGUGUACAGUUGUGCCCACCAUCAUCUGGGCCACCAAGAUGUCUACCUGUCCACCCCAUCCUCCCCUGGAUAAAUGGCUCUGCCUCAU